rnacentral:rRNA from 1 species
UCGACGACUCUGGUAUUGAUUGGUGCUUGACAUCAUGAUUUACAUUUGAGUGAGUGGCGAACUGGUGAGUAACACGUGGGAAACCUGCCCAGAAGCGGGGGAUAACACCUGGAAACAGAUGCUAAUACCGCAUAACAACUUGGGCCGCAUCCUUUGAGCUUGAAAGAUGGCUUCGGCUAUCACUUUUGGAUGGUCCCGCGGCGUAUUAGCUAGAUGGUGGGGUAACGGCUCACCAUGGCAAUGAUACGUAGCCGACCUGAGAGGGUAAUCGGCCACAUUGGGACUGAGACACGGCCCAAACUCCUACGGGAGGCAGCAGUAGCGAAUCUUCCACAAUGGACGAAAGUCUGAUGGAGCAACGCCGCGUGAGUGAAGAGGGUUUCGGCUCGUAAAACUCUGUUGUUAAAGAUUAACUUAUCAGAGAGUAACUGUUCAGGUAUUGACCCAAAAAAGCCGAAAAGCCCCGGAUAAGUACGUGCGAUCAGCCGCGGUACUACGUA